AUUCACUUGGCUUGCAUUUUAAGCCACAUCAAAGAGUUCUUGAUGGGGGGCGCGGGGGGUUGCAAUUUUAGAGGUGUAUAGGUCCUGUAGAGAAGGUAGGUAAAAGCCAAUUACCUUCUCGGCAAAGCGAUGAUACAAUGCAGUCUGUUCAGGUUCCUCGUGGUGGCAGCAGCAUACCAGUCUAAGAUAGAGGCGUGAGGAUAGAAUCGAUUAUGGAGGUGUAGAAGUUCACCAUCAUUCUCUUUGUCAUUUUUACCCAGGUCAGCUGCCUCAGGAAGUGCAUCCUCUGCUGUGCUGCUUUUGAUGAAGAAGAUGAUGUUCAGCUCCCAUUCCAGGUCCUGAGUGAUGAUGGUUCCCAGGAAGCAUAAGUGUUCAUCCACAGUGGAAUCACCCAAAGUAAUGGUUUUUGGAGUUUUUAGCAGAAAUUUGGAAGACUUUUUGUGUCUGAUAGACACAGUGGCGAAUCUUCAUAUAUGAUUUUUGUCUGAAAAUCCAAGGUGCAGCAUUUUGAAGACUCAGUUCUUCAAACUCCAGCCUUUUUGGAUUGGCAAGAGAAGAAAGUCUGAUCAAGAAAGGUGGUUCUUGUUCACUAUGAUAGUGAACUGUUCCUUGGCACCAUUACACAGAUUGCCGAUGGCCAAUACGAAGUACACACACUGUGCCGGCCUAAACCAGUUUUUCCAUUCCGUCAGUCUGCUAUGAGGGAGAAAAGGUGUGGCACUACUGUGAGGACAUUAAGGCCAGGAUCCCAGAGCCACAACCUACAACGUCGGCGGAAAUCUGGGCAAAAUUCACUGAUGAGUAGGUAGGAACCAUUUGCUUUGCAUUUAUUUUUCACAUAAUAUUUUGAUUGUGUUUAAAAAAUAGAAAAAUUAUGUGCAUCGCAUGCUUUAACGUUUACCAAAUCAUUUAAAAAGAUGUUACAUGUUAUUGUAGAGUUUCACAUAAUUAUGUGCGACAAUUAAUCCGUUUUGAAAAAUUUAAAAAAUGGUUCUUGAUGGUUUCAGACCAUUGCGGUAAUGAGAUUUUUUAAAACAUGUUCAAAGCUGUUCAAAAGGGUAUUAAAUUGUCAGUAAAUAUUUUAAAAACAACAAUCAUUACCACUGCAGACUGAAAUUAAUGGUUAAAAGGAGCAUGUGUUGAUCCAGUUCAAGGUUGAAGAGUUACGUUAGGCAACUGGACAUUAAAAAAAUUCCAUGUCUCCAAUCUUUGAAACCAAGCUUUCAUGAUAAUGACCACAAUGACCCAUCAUGUGAUAUAUAUGUAUACAUACAUACAAAUAUGUAUUCAUACGCAUAUAUAUACAUAUAUGUAUACAUGUAUUAGUAUAUACAUAUAUAUAGACAUUGUAAAUUGGACCUGAUCUAACAGGUCUGUUUACAGCCAUGAAACACCAAAUCAGUGAUGUUUUUGUUUCUUUAUUGAAAAACACACAUCUACAUAAAAAAUGUGUAAUAAACAGGGGAAAGUAAUCAUUGUUUUUUUUUUUGUUUUGUUUUUUAAACAUGGCAGAUAUUUACUGUGCUGUACGACAAUCUGGUCUCAGCCUCUUGAAAAAC